UAGUGGCGGACGGGUGAGUAACGCGUGGGUAACCUGCCUUAUACAGGGGGAUAACAGUCAGAAAUGGCUGCUAAUACCGCAUAAGCGCACAGAGCUGCAUGGCUCAGUGUGAAAAACUCCGGUGGUAUAAGAUGGACCCGCGUUGGAUUAGCUUGUUGGUGGGGUAACGGCCCACCAAGGCGACGAUCCAUAGCCGGCCUGAGAGGGUGAACGGCCACAUUGGGACUGAGACACGGCCCAGACUCCUACGGGAGGCAGCAGUGGGGAAUAUUGCACAAUGGGGGAAACCCUGAUGCAGCGACGCCGCGUGAAGGAAGAAGUAUCUCGGUAUGUAAACUUCUAUCAGCAGGGAAGAUAGUGACGGUACCUGACUAAGAAGCCCCGGCUAACUACGUGCCAGCAGCCGCGGUAAUACGUAGGUGGCAAGCGUUAUCCGGAUUUACUGGGUGUAAAGGGCGUGUAGGCGGAGAUGCAAGUUGGGAGUGAAAUCCCGGGGCUCAACCCCGGAACUGCUUUCAAAACUGUAUCCCUUGAGUGUCGGAGAGGCAAGCGGAAUUCCUAGUGUAGCGGUGAAAUGCGUAGAUAUUAGGAGGAACACCAGUGGCGAAGGCGGCUUGCUGGACGAUAACUGACGCUGAGGCGCGAAAGCGUGGGGAGCAAACAGGAUUAGAUACCCUGGUAGUCCACGCUGUAAACGAUGAAUACUAGGUGUGGGAGGACUGACCCCUUCCGUGCCGCAGUUAACACAAUAAGUAUUCCACCUGGGGAGUACGACCGCAAGGUUGAAACUCAAAGGAAUUGACGGGGGCCCGCACAAGCAGUGGAUUAUGUGGUUUAAUUCGACGCAACGCGAAGAACCUUACCAGGACUUGACAUCCAACUAACGAAGUAGAGAUACAUUAGGUGCCCUUCGGGGAAAGUUGAGACAGGUGGUGCAUGGUUGUCGUCAGCUCGUGUCGUGAGAUGUUGGGUUAAGUCCCGCAACGAGCGCAACCCCUAUUGUUAGUUGCUACGAAAGAGCACUCUAGCGAGACUGCCGUUGACAAAACGAAGGAAGGCGGGGACGACGUCAAAUCAUCAUGCCCCUUAUGUCCUGGGCUACACACGUGCUACAAUGGCAAGUACAAAGAGAAGCAAUACUGUGAAGUGGAGCAAAACUCAAAAACUUGUCUCAGUUCGGAUUGUAGGCUGAAACUCGCCUACAUGAAGCUGGAGUUGCUAGUAAUCGCGAAUCAGAAUGUCGCGGUGAAUACGUUCCCGGGUCUUGCACUCACCGCCCGUCA
rnacentral:rRNA from 1 species